GGAUAGCUAAUUGUGUGUGUGUGUUUGUGUGUGCGUGCGUACAUCCCCCGUCUUACCUUCCUCACUGACUUGCCGUUUCCUCCAGGUGAGGGGCGUCCACAACAGAACUUGAAGUAGAGGAUGAGGAAUUUGGUCGUGAACAGCAGUUUGAACUUUUACUUCUGUUGAUAGAUUCACAAAAGAAGGAAGAGGUCAUAAACCAGAAGAGGACAGGCACAAAUCAGUCCUGAUGUGUUGGAUUAUUAGGAUGAUGUGAGGUAAAGGAGGUGGAGCUGCCAUUUGUUUUCAGGUAGAUAACAAAGUGUAUUGAAUUGGAUGUGCUGCUAAGGAUCUAGCUUGCUUACAGUGCUCAGACAUGCAGCCUUACAAUAUUUAAACUUUUAACAAGGGUCAUCAGAAGCCACCAGGAGGCAAAGGGACAGGAAGUCAUGGAGUUAUAUUCUUCCACUCAAUGCUUCAAGUCCUCCACCAUUGCUCUGUUGAUGAAAAAGGGAGCAGUGUCCUCCGGGUUCAAGAGAGUAACUUCAUUUUAUACAAAGAAUCGAUUAACGAGGAACAAAGCAGAGAAAAGGUCUGGGUGAAACCAGAACCUCUGCCUUAGAGUUGGAGAAGGAAGAAGGUAGUGCAAGGCUUGUGUCUACAACGUUGGUAGGUCAUAAUUCUCUUUGAUGCAAUUGGUAGUUUAAUUUUUACAAAAAUAGAAACACAGGUAGCCAGGUAGGUUUUUGGGGAAAUAUUCACCACUGUUCCCAAUUUAGCAGCUCAGCAUACAACUACAAGUGCUACUCUAUAUUUUUCUAUUUAAAGGAUGAUAAACCCUGAAUAUUCUACAGCAGAAAUAUAUUAUCUAUAUCCAUCUAUACUGGAAAGAUUUGGGGCCGCAUCUUUGACCUCACCCAUCAGUCACGCAACAAUGUACCAUGUCCACUUAGGGGGGUUGGAAAUGUCUAAGCAAGCAAAUAUUUGGUUUAGAAAGUGAUCUUGAAAAGAUGUAAAGGUCUUGCACACCCACACAACUUUCUGCUCAGGUAAAGUUUGACGGUGUUGAGCCAGAUAUUGGCUGGUGAAAUUUGCUCCAAGUUGUGCCUAAAAGCAGGCAGGACA